rnacentral:rRNA from 1 species
CGUGCCUAAUACAUGCAAGUCGAACGAACUCUGGUAUUGAUUGGUGCUUGCAUCAUGACUCCUACAUUUGAGUGAGUGGCGAACUGGUGAGUAACACGUGGGAAACCUGCCCAGAAGCGGGGGAUAACACCUGGAAACAGAUGCUAAUACCGCAUAACAACUUGGACCGCAUGGUCCGAGUUUGAAAGAUGGCUUCGGCUAUCACUUUUGGAUGGUCCCGCGGCGUAUUAGCUAGAUGGUGGGGUAACGGCUCACCAUGGCAAUGAUACGUAGCCGACCUGAGAGGGUAAUCGGCCACAUUGGGACUGAGACACGGCCCAAACUCCUACGGGAGGCAGCAGUAGGGAAUCUUCCACAAUGGACGAAAGUCUGAUGGAGCAACGCCGCGUGAGUGAAGAAGGGUUUCGGCUCGUAAAACUCUGUUGUUAAAGAAGAACAUAUCUGAGAGUAACUGUUCAGGUAUUGACGGUAUUUAACCAGAAAGCCACGGCUAACUACGUGCCAGCAGCCGCGGUAAUACGUAGGUGGCAAGCGUUGUCCGGAUUUAUUGGGCGUAAAGCGAGCGCAGGCGGUUUUUUAAGUCUGAUGUGAAAGCCUUCGGCUCAACCGAAGAAGUGCAUCGGAAACUGGGAAACUUGAGUGCAGAAGAGGACAGUGGAACUCCAUGUGUAGCGGUGAAAUGCGUAGAUAUAUGGAAGAACACCAGUGGCGAAGGCGGCUGUCUGGUCUGUAACUGACGCUGAGGCUCGAAAGUAUGGGUAGCAAACAGGAUUAGAUACCCUGGUAGUCCAUACCGUAAACGAUGAAUGCUAAGUGUUGGAGGGUUUCCGCCCUUCAGUGCUGCAGCUAACGCAUUAAGCAUUCCGCCUGGGGAGUACGGCCGCAAGGCUGAAACUCAAAGGAAUUGACGGGGGCCCGCACAAGCGGUGGAGCAUGUGGUUUAAUUCGAAGCUACGCGAAGAACCUUACCAGGUCUUGACAUACUAUGCAAAUCUAAGAGAUUAGACGUUCCCUUCGGGGACAUGGAUACAGGUGGUGCAUGGUUGUCGUCAGCUCGUGUCGUGAGAUGUUGGGUUAAGUCCCGCAACGAGCGCAACCCUUAUUAUCAGUUGCCAGCAUUAAGUUGGGCACUCUGGUGAGACUGCCGGUGACAAACCGGAGGAAGGUGGGGAUGACGUCAAAUCAUCAUGCCCCUUAUGACCUGGGCUACACACGUGCUACAAUGGAUGGUACAACGAGUUGCGAACUCGCGAGAGUAAGCUAAUCUCUUAAAGCCAUUCUCAGUUCGGAUUGUAGGCUGCAACUCGCCUACAUGAAGUCGGAAUCGCUAGUAAUCGCGGAUCAGCAUGCCGCGGUGAAUACGUUCCCGGGCCUUGUACACACCGCCCGUCACACCAUGAGAGUUUGUAACACCCAAAGUCGGUGGGGUAACCUUUUAGGAACCAGCCGCCUAAGGU